AAAGAAAAGAAAAGAAAGAAAAAGAAAGUGAGUUGUGGUUUACUGUGUGCCAAGCACUGGGGUAAGCAUUGUGAAACUACAAGAGGCACCACAGACCCAUCCCUGCACCAUGGAAGGAAGAGAGGAAGGAAGAGAGCUGGAUGAAUUCAAUAAAUUCAAGCAUGUUUUGUAAACCACCAUAACCUAAUUUAAUGGAUAUUUACAGAAUAUUAUACCAAAACCCUGCAGAAUGUACUUUCACUUCAAGUGCAUAUAGAAUGUGGAUUGAGAUAUGCUGGGCCAUUAAACAAAGAAUCAAUAAAUAUCAAGGGACUGAAAUUAUAUGGAGUGUGUCCUCUGACCACAAAGGAAUUAAAUUAAAAAUCACUAACAGUAAGCUAUCUCAAAUGUUUGGAAGUUGACACAUUUCUAAAUAAUGUGUGGGCCAUAGAAAAAAUUCACAAGUGAAAUAAAAUAUUUCUACUUAAGCACAAUAUGUCAGAGUGUUUGGGAUGCAGUUAAAGCAGUACAUAGAGGGAAAUAUAUAGCUUUAAAUGCUUAUACACGAAGAUAAAGUUUUAAAACCAAUAUUCUAAACUUCCAUCUUAAGAACCUGUGAAGAGCCAAUGAAACACAAGGUAAAUAGAAGAAAGAAAAAUAAAAAGACAAAAAGCAAUUAAAUCAAAAACAGAAAAUAGAGAAAAACAACGAAGCCCAAAGCUAAUACUUUGAAAAGAUUAAUAAAACUGAUUAACCCCUAGCAAGACUAAUCAAGAAAAAAAGAGAAACAACACAUUACCAUUGAAAGAAGGAACAUCACUACAGACCCUACAGACAUUAAAAGUGUAAUAAGGGAAUACAAACAGUCUUAUAUGGAUAAGUUCUACAACUUAGAUGAAAUAGACAAAUUCCUUGAAAAUAUAACAUGCCAAGUUUAAUAAAAGAACAUCACAAUGCACUGUAGUAUAAUUCAGCAAGGAAAUUUUUCUAAGUCCAGAGAGAUCUGGAAAGAUUUCUCAGAAACGAUAUUUAAGCUGAGACCUGAAACAGAAGUGGAAUUUUACCAGGUUUCCCACCUCCCCCCAGACAAUUUAUUAAUUUUUUUAAGUUUAUUUAUUCUUGAGAGAGAGAGAGACUGUGAGAGGGGGAAGGGCAGAGAGGGAGAUACAGAAUCCAAAGCAGGCUCCAGGCUCUGAGUUGUCAGCACAGAGCCUGAAGCAGGACCCGAACCCACGAACCACGAGAUCAUGAUCUGAGCCAAAGUCAGACACUUAACCGAUUGAGCCACCCAGGUGCCCCAGAAUUUUACCAAGUUAAUAGAAUUGUGUCCCAGGAAGGAGAGACAGCAUGUACAAAGGUCCUGACAUUGGAAUGAGUUUUGUGUAUCCAAAUAGAAAAGUCCACAGUCAUGACCCUUUUUGUUGUUUAGUGAACAUAUGCUUACAUCCUUCCCUGGGGUAAACCUCCAGGUAGACCCGCUUGACCUGAACAGAAAUGUUUAGAGAGACCAAAGCAAACUUAUUGGUAAGACAGACAUUUGGAAGUUUCUGGGCUGUAAACAGGAGGCAAUUUAUUCUGUAAACUGUAACAUUUCCUCAUUUGGGAGCCAGGGUUCCCUCUCACCUGGCUGGUGACGAGCCUGUGGCCUCAAACUGGGAGCACUCACAUCUCUAGGCAUUGCACUUCAUACCAUGAGAUCCUUGGAUCUAAUACCUGCUACUCUUAGCCCCAUUCUCCAGAGCAGUGAACUGAGACCUCACAGAAGGACCACAUCUUGCCUGAGGUCACAGAGACCAAACACUAACCACUGUGCUUUACCAACUUCCCCCAAAUAUACAUUUCAACUUUGGAACUGGUUGGGCUGAGGUUUGUGUUUUGGGCAUAGGUUUCCCAAAUAGCCCAUGGUCCUUGCCCUUCCUCUUCAGGAGGAGAAAACACACACACAUACACACAUGUACACACACACACACACACACACACACACCUGACCAUCUUAGCCAUUUGUCCCUCCUCCCAUCUCUACAGAACAGUGGCCACCAAGGUGCAGAGCAGUGCCAGGAUCUGAUGUGCAUCCGUGGAAGGGGCGGGGAGAGGAGAGAGUCCCUUUCAGUAGCCAACUGUGUGUAUGCAACUUCCUGCCAGUGAGGAAACAUUCGUUCAAAUCAGCCCUGGUUCUCCUUUCCCUGCUCUGGCCUCACAGGAGGAGUUGGCAGUGAGCUGUGGGCUGCACUGGCCUCAGCCAGACUUCCUGGCCAAGCUCAGGAGGAGAGAUGCCCUGGACUGUCCUGCUCUUUGCAGCCGGCUCCUUGGCCAUCCCAGCACCAUCCAUCCUGCUGGUGCCCCCACACCCCAGCAGCCAAGAGGACCCCAUCCACAUCGCCUGUGUAGCCCCCGGGGGCUUCCCAGGGGCCAAUUUCACGCUGUACCGCGGCAGGCAGGUGGUACAGCUCCUGCAGGCCCCCGCGGACCAGCUGAGGGUCACCUUCAACUUGACCGGUGGAGGCAGGGAGGCUCCGGGGGGCACGUUUCACUGCCAGUACGAGGUUCUAGGUGAACAGCCGCAGCUGUCCGACCUCAGUGACACUGUGAGUGUCUCCUUCCCAGUGCCCACUUGGAUACUGGCACUCUCCUUGAGUCUGGCUGGAGCUCUCCUUCUCCUUGCUGGGCUGGUGAUCAUUGCCGUGGUGGUCAGGAGAGUGAAAAUAAAAAAAAUGCAGAAGAAAAGAGAGCGAGAAUCCUGCUGGGCCCAGAUCAACUUCGCCACCACAGAUAUGACCUUUGACAAUUCCCUGUUUGCCAUCUCUACGGCAGCCACGUCCAGGCCUUGUGGGACAAAGGGCAGGAUUCCCCCCGGGCUGGAGCACUGGGACAAGAACGGCACAAGGCUUCCAAUUCUUCAGCGCUUCCUAAUUUCUAUGGACGGAGAUAGACGAUGCCACGCGGAUCACAGGCGGCAGUCGCUGGUGUUCGAAUGUGACAAGGAAAGGGAAGGGCCAGUUCAGCCCCGGUCUCAGCUCCCGGAGCAGCUCCUGUGCUGUUAAGAAACAGCCGGCAGCCAGGGAAGUUCUAAAACUUUCUGGGAGAAGCCACGCGGCUCAAGGCACCAUCCUGAAAAUGAAUCCAGAAGAUCCAGCCACGCUGGAUGCUUGCUCGGGCUCCGUCGAGACACCUGGCAACUCCGGGCCCCGGAAAAGGCCCACUUCCACAUCUUCCUCGCCCGAGCCCCCCGAAUUCAGCACUUUCCGGGCCU